AGUAGAGAGACAAUGUUUGCGCGCAAUAAAAAGCCUCGUGUGAACCCACCUUAAAGGGAAAAACAGUUUAGUAUAUCGUGUAACGUUAGCGAGUGUGUGUGCGGUAGCAAGGCAGCGCCUGCUAAGCAAUCAUGACCAGAAUGAAAGGAAAAAGAGUCCAAAUUUAUUCUUGUGUUGUGAUUUUUUAAUAAUGUGAUAGCUAUCGACAUAAAUUUAGUGCAUGUGUAUUCAACUGAGAUUGGGAUUUCAUUGUUAAUAUUUAAUUGUAUAGAAAGUUAUAAAAGUUUCUCAGUUGAAAUGCCAAGAAGGAUCUAAUCUAAUCCUAAGACAUUAAUCAGGGUAUAUUUUUUUCUAAAAUUUUUUUGAUGCCGAAGAUCAGAAUGAAUUUAUAUAGAUAUGAAAUUGGGCUUCAU